rnacentral:rRNA from 1 species
CCUACGGGAGGCAGCAGUGAGGAAUAUUGGUCAAUGGACGAGAGUCUGAACCAGCCAAGUAGCGUGAAGGAUGACUGCCCUAUGGGUUGUAAACUUCUUUUAUAUGGGAAUAAAAUGUUCCACGUGUGGGAUUUUGUAUGUACCAUAUGAAUAAGGAUCGGCUAACUCCGUGCCAGCAGCCGCGGUAAUACGGAGGAUCCGAGCGUUAUCCGGAUUUAUUGGGUUUAAAGGGAGCGUAGGUGGAUUGUUAAGUCAGUUGUGAAAGUUUGCGGCUCAACCGUAAAAGUGCAGUUGAAACUGGCAGUCUUGAGUACAGUAGAGGUGGGCGGAAUUCGUGGUGUAGCGGUGAAAUGCUUAGAUAUCACGAAGAACUCCGAUGGCGAAGGCAGUUCACUGGACUGCAACUGACACUGAGGCACGAAAGUGUGGGUAUCAAACAGGAUUAGAUACCCUAGUAGUC